rnacentral:ncRNA from 1 species
AAGUUUUAUUUUAGCUUUAAAUUUUGGUAAGAUUGAAAAUUACAUGCUAAUUUUAGUGAGAACUACGGUUUAUUUUAAAUAAAUAAAUCCCUUGAAAAAUAAAGUCGCAGUAAUAAGGGUUGAAAAAUUUAGGAAACUAAGAUUCAGUUAAUAUAUUGAGCACUAACUAAACUUGUGCCAGCAGUUGCGGUUAGACAAGUGGUGUGACUAAAAUUACUUUGGAAUGAUAAUUAAUAAGAAUUAAAAGAAUUAAAAUUAAAAUUUAUUAGGUGAAAUUUCUAAAUUUUAUAUAAAUUUAUUUUUAGAUUAUGAGGUUGAGAAAUUCAAGUAAUAAACUAGGAUUAGAUACCCUAUUAUUUUGAGUGUAAAGUUGUAUUUCCUUAUUAGUAGUAGUUAUGUUCUUGAAAAUAAAAAGAUUUGGCGGUACUUUAGUCCAUUUAGAGGAACUUGUCCUAUAAUUGAUGAUCCACGAUAAACAGUACUUAUAUUAUAUUAGUUUAUAUAUCGCCGUAGGUUGAAUGUUUUAGAAGAAUGAAAAUGUUCAAGAGGUUUAAGCUAGACAGAAAAUCAGGUCAAGAUGUAGCUUAUAUAUGAGUAGAGAUGAGUUACAAUGAAAUUAUUUAUACGGAUUGGUGUUUGAAAAGCAUUAAGAAGGCGGAUUUAAGGGUAAUUUUAUAGAUUUUUAUAAGAUGAUUUUGGCUCUAGAGUAUGCACAUAUCGCCCGUCGCUUUCGCCCCAAGGUGGAAUAAGUCGUAACAUAGUAGGUGUACUGGAAAGUGUACCUAGAA